rnacentral:rRNA from 1 species
GAUUCUGGCUCAGGAUGAACGCUGGCGGCGUGCCUAACACAUGCAAGUCGAACGGACCUUAUUGAACAGAGACUUCGGUUGAAGAGAUUAUAAGGUUAGUGGCGGACGGGUGAGUAACGCGUGGAGAACCUGCCCUGUACUGGGGGAUAACAGUGAGAAAUCACUGCUAAUACCGCAUAAGCGCACGGUACCGCAUGGUACAGUGUGAAAAACUCCGGUGGUACAGGAUGGCUCCGCGUUGAUUAGCCAGUUGGCGGGUAACGGCCCACCAAAGCGACGAUCCAUAGCCGGCCUGAGAGGGUGAACGGCCACAUUGGGACUGAGACACGGCCCAGACUCCUACGGGAGGCAGCAGUGGGAAUAUUGCACAAUGGGGGAACCCUGAUGCAGCGACGCCGCGUGAAGGAAGAAGUAUCUCGGUAUGUAAACUUCUAUCAGCAGGGAAGAGAUUGACGGUACCUGACCAAGAAGCCCCGGCUAACUACGUGCCAGCAGCCGC